rnacentral:rRNA from 1 species
UACGUAGGGGGCAAGCGUUGUCCGGAAUCAUUGGGCGUAAAGAGCGUGUAGGCGGCUCGAUAAGUCCGCUGUGAAAGUCCAGGGCUCAACCCUGGAAGGCCGGUGGAAACUGUCGGGCUAGAGUCCGGAAGAGGCGAGUGGAAUUCCCGGUGUAGCGGUGAAAUGCGCAGAUAUCGGGAGGAACACCAAUGGCGAAGGCGGCAUCCUGGACCAACACUGACACUGAGGAGCGAAAGCCAGGGGAGCAAACGGG